GCCAACGUCCAUACCACGUUGAAUACACCGGUUCUCGUUCGAUCACCGAAGUUAAGCAACGUCGGGCGCGGUCAGUACUUGGAUGGGUGACCGCCUGGGAACACCGCGUGAUGUUGGCUUUU
rnacentral:rRNA from 1 species